UUUAUUUUAUUAUUAUUUUUUUUUUUGACAUUACUGAAUUCUUCAUUAGGUCAAUAAUUAAGCCAGCCUCUCCUCCUUUGCCCUGACCCAUUACUUUCAAAGCUUUAUUUACCUCUUUUAUGGUUACACGGGAAACUUUCAAGUUCACAGAGUCAUUCUCCCCACCUUCAGUGCUGCCAAUAUAAACUGUAGUACAGUAAAAGUCUGCUAAGCAGGUUUGCAGGGAACCAGUCUUGUGCCAGAUUAUUGGAAAUGUGGGACAAUUGGAUGGUACUACAGGUAUGGACAGUUAGAUGGCGUUACAUGAUUGUCAUCUUCUCCCUUGUAUAGAAACAAUAGUCCUGUUUGCAACCAGGGAUUUUGAUGCCCAUUACCACUACAGUUUUGAUUUUGUCUUAACCUCUUAAUGACAACUAUGACGCUGGCGUCAAAUAAUUUUUUCUGACGUGGGCGACGAGCAUGACGCCAGCGCCGGAGAGCGAGAAGUUCUCUGGAAGUUGAACGGCGUGCAUAACUAUGUAUAUGUCAAUACUAAGUGACUAACUGGCACCUCUUUUGCCCCUUAGACAACUCCGUGCUAAAAAUAGUCUACAGUUCCUGCCUAUGCAUCAUGGUAUCUGCAGAGCAAUUAUGUUCCCUCAGCCGAUCUGUUUUGGCAGUCUUUCUUUAGUUUCUGCUCAUCAUGUGCAUUCUGAGCAUAGUCUAGACACCUCCACUAAUUUACCUGAUGUUCUAGAUGGACCAAUAUCUUGUUCACAGGAGUGUGAAGCAGAAGUUGGAAUUUUUUGGGAAUCAAGAAUUCCAGCCAAACAGUCAGUCCAAAUCAUAAUCUGAUUUCACAGUUGAGUUAUAUGGAUGAUUUUCUGCAACUUUUAUUCAAUGAGAUUCAUUCCAGAAUGAAAACUACAAGAAAUAUUUUUCAAGUUUCACUGCAACUUUGGCUCUCUGUAGGCAGUAAAUUUCCAGGUCAAAGAUUAUAAACGAUAUUUUUCAGACUCCAUCGGGAUAAAAUGAGCAACUUUUCUUCAAUAAAUUUUCCUGUACGUUGCACCAGUAAAAACUUGGAUAUUUUUGGGAAAAAUGGAAUUCCAGCCAAACGGUCAGUCCAAAUCAUAAUCUUAUUUCACAGUUGAGUUAUAUGGAUGAUUUUUCUACAACUUUUAUUCAGUGAGAUUCACUCCAGAAUGAAAAAAAAAAUACAAAAAUUUACCAAAAUUAUUUAUUGCAUUUCAACAACUUUGGCUCUCUACAGGCAGUAAAUUUCCUGGUCAGAUAUUAUAAACUAUAUUUUUCAGACUCCAUUGUGAUAUAAAAUGAGCAACUUUUCUUCAAUAAUUUUUUCUGUACAUUGCACCAGUAAAAAGUUGGAAUUAACCAGGAAUCAUGGAAUUUAAGCCAAAUGUGACACCCUAGAAAGAAACGUAUUUCACAGCAGGGUGUGCCGGAAAAUUUUCCAUAAAACAAUUUUUAUGACUUUUUCUCAGUUUCGAAGUGUAUUUUUCGAUGACUUGCAUUAUGGGGGAUCACCUGAGAAAAACUUUUGCGGUUGUGAGGGGUUAACUCCCUUGGGCAGAGGAAUGAGUGCUAUUAUUCAAUGCCAAUAUGCAAAGAGAAUUUGACACUGAUUGCCAUAGCAAUGGAAGAUAAUGUUAAAGACAUGGUCAUAUGAUUUGUAGAUAUGAAUCAUGUUAUAUGGACAUGAUUUUAAUAUUAUCUUAAAUUGCUAUAGAAAUCAGUGUCAAAUUCUCAUUGCAAAUUGGCUUUGAAAAAUAGCUUAGUCACCCCUCUCCCCAAGGGAGUUGAGAGAACAUUAAAAUUCUGGUGGUAAUGGGCAUCAAAAUGCUCAUGAACAGGCCAAUAGGUUUAUGAUAAAAUAUUUACCCCCUAAAUGCACUGAUCCUCUGUGGACACCUAACUUACUAAUACUUCAUCCAUCUCAAUACUCCCACACAGUCUAGCCACUAAAUAAAUCAGUGAUAUCUCUGCUUCUUGACAGAGUGUGGUCCAAAGAGAGUGGCCAAAUAGCAAAAUUGUUAAUAAUGAAAUAGUUUUUCCUGUGUGGGGGGUAGGAUUCUGACCACCUCACAGAUCCAAGAAAAGUUCAGUAAAAAUGAAAAAAAAAAUUAUACGUAUUCUUUUAUUUCACACCUUGCUAGUAGUAGUAGUACGGGUCUUGGGUUGAGCCAUGGUACUACAGUAAGCCUACCAUAUCCACUGGUAUAAGGUUGCUGACUUGCAAAAAACAUGAAUGGUCAGGUCGCUUAUUUAGAAUGGCAUAAUUUCAUAGCUUAAAAUACUUUAUUUUAUUUUUAAUGAACAUUUCGACUUACAAUCAGUUUGACUUAUGACCUGCCCUUCAGAGCCAAACCCCGUCAUGACUCGAGGACUACCUGUAUCUCAUUUUGAAGUCACUUUAUAUUUUUGUCCCUACCCCAGAAGUCCUCUACACAUCAGGAUCAGGACAUCGGGAUAUAAAAAUAAUUGAUUUACAUGCUUAGGCUCCUAAUGCCCCAAAUAUAUGAAUAGGCAAAAAAAAGGCUUCAGACAAACUCCUUAGAUAAAAAGCUUGGAAACACUUGGAUGUUCAAAAUAUACCAUGGUCACAAAACUAAUAUAUCCCAGCUCAACAUGAGCCUCAUGGAUAAUAAAAAUGCAUUUUUUGUCAUUUAUAUAAAUAAUUUAUUAUGUACAUUUUAAAUAUAUUAUAAUGGUGUUAUAUC